AAAAAUUUAGUUAAAAUAUAACAUUAGUUUGUCAAACUAAAAUUAUUAAAUAUAAUAAUUUUUA
rnacentral:tRNA from 1 species